rnacentral:rRNA from 1 species
GGAUGCGAUCAUACCAGCACUAAAGCACCGGAUCCCAUUAGAACUCCGAAGUUAAGCGUGCUUUGGCGAGAGUAGUACUAGGAUGGGUGACCUCCUGGGAAGUCCUCGUGUUGCAUUCC